UGGGGAAUCUUGCGCAAUGGGCGAAAGCCUGACGCAGCAACGCCGCGUGCGGGAUGAAGGCCUUCGGGCUGUAAACCGCUUUCAGCAGGAACGAAAAUGACGGUACCUGCAGAAGAAGGAGCGGCCAACUACGUGCCAGCAGCCGCGGUGACACGUAGGCUCCAAGCGUUGUCCGGAUUUAUUGGGCGUAAAGCGUCCGUAGGUGGUUGUUCAAGUCUGCUGUUAAAGCGGGCGGCUUAACCGCAUAUC
rnacentral:rRNA from 1 species